AUGAAGCAGGAGAAGGGGCAGGGCGGCGGGAGGAAGCUGGGGCGGUGGCUGGGCGCGCCGGUGCGGGCGCUGUCGCGGGCGUGCGACUCGUACGUGCGCAAGAUGUCGGCGUGCGCGGGGGCCAUGCCCACGCAGUACGCGGGCGCCGUGGGCCGCGGCGGGGCCGGGGCCAUGCGCAUGCAGGCGGCCACCUUCAGCUCGCGCUCCACGCGGCGCGGGGACGACGACGUCGGCGAGCUGGUCCGCGCCAUGUCCCAGCGCCAGCAGGGCAGCGGCGCCUCCCCCGCGGCCACGGCCGUGCCGCCCAGGAGCCGGAGCGUGGGGGUGGGCACGAUCGACGAGGACGCGCCGUGCGACUUCGGCGCCGACGCCGGCCGCGUCGGCCUGCCGCCCCCGGCCGUGCGCAGGAGCCGCAGCGCCGCCGUCGGGAGCGGCCUCCCGCCGCGCGUCGGCGGCGGCGGCGGGUUCGGCGCCGCGACGAUCAAGAAGGCCCCAGCCGCCGCCGCCGCCGUGCACGGCGGCUAG
rnacentral:rRNA from 1 species